AAAUUGAAGAGUUUGAUCAUGGCUCAGAUUGAACGCUGGCGGCAGGCCUAACACAUGCAAGUCGAACGGUAACAGGAAGCAGCUUGCUGCUUCGCUGACGAGUGGCGGACGGGUGAGUAAUGUCUGGGAAACUGCCUGAUGGAGGGGGAUAACUACUGGAAACGGUGGCUAAUACCGCAUAACGUCGCAAGACCAAAGAGGGGGACCUUCGGGCCUCUUGCCAUCAGAUGUGCCCAGAUGGGAUUAGCUUGUUGGUGAGGUAACGGCUCACCAAGGCGACGAUCCCUAGCUGGUCUGAGAGGAUGACCAGCCACACUGGAACUGAGACACGGUCCAGACUCCUACGGGAGGCAGCAGUGGGGAAUAUUGCACAAUGGGCGCAAGCCUGAUGCAGCCAUGCCGCGUGUAUGAAGAAGGCCUUCGGGUUGUAAAGUACUUUCAGCGGGGAGGAAGGUGUUGUGGUUAAUAACCGCAGCAAUUGACGUUACCCGCAGAAGAAGCACCGGCUAACUCCGUGCCAGCAGCCGCGGUAAUACGGAGGGUGCAAGCGUUAAUCGGAAUUACUGGGCGUAAAGCGCACGCAGGCGGUCUGUCAAGUCGGAUGUGAAAUCCCCGGGCUCAACCUGGGAACUGCAUUCGAAACUGGCAGGCUUGAGUCUUGUAGAGGGGGGUAGAAUUCCAGGUGUAGCGGUGAAAUGCGUAGAGAUCUGGAGGAAUACCGGUGGCGAAGGCGGCCCCCUGGACAAAGACUGACGCUCAGGUGCGAAAGCGUGGGGAGCAAACAGGAUUAGAUACCCUGGUAGUCCACGCCGUAAACGAUGUCUACUUGGAGGUUGUGCCCUUGAGGCGUGGCUUCCGGAGCUAACGCGUUAAGUAGACCGCCUGGGGGAGUACGGCCGCAAGGUUAAAACUCAAAUGAAUUGACGGGGGCCCGCACAAGCGGUGGAGCAUGUGGUUUAAUUCGAUGCAACGCGAAGAACCUUACCUGGUCUUGACAUCCACAGAAGAAUCCAGAGAUGGAUUUGUGCCUUCGGGAACUGUGAGACAGGUGCUGCAUGGCUGUCGUCAGCUCGUGUUGUGAAAUGUUGGGUUAAGUCCCGCAACGAGCGCAACCCUUAUCCUUUGUUGCCAGCGGUUAGGCCGGGAACUCAAAGGAGACUGCCAGUGAUAAACUGGAGGAAGGUGGGGAUGACGUCAAGUCAUCAUGGCCCUUACGACCAGGGCUACACACGUGCUACAAUGGCGCAUACAAAGAGAAGCGACCUCGCGAGAGCAAGCGGACCUCAUAAAGUGCGUCGUAGUCCGGAUUGGAGUCUGCAACUCGACUCCAUGAAGUCGGAAUCGCUAGUAAUCGUGGAUCAGAAUGCCACGGUGAAUACGUUCCCGGGCCUUGUACACACCGCCCGUCACACCAUGGGAGUGGGUUGCAAAAGAAGUAGGUAGCUUAACCUUCGGGAGGGCGCUUACCACUUUGUGAUUCAUGACUGGGGUGAAGUCGUAACAAGGUAACCGUAGGGGAACCUGCGGUUGGAUCACCUCCUUA
rnacentral:rRNA from 1 species